rnacentral:rRNA from 1 species
CCCUUAGACGUUCUGGGCCGCACGCGCGCUACACUGACGAAGGCAACGAGCUACUCUUCACCGAAAGGUGUGGGUAAUCUUUUGAAACUUCGUCGUGCUGGGGAUAGAUCCUUGCAAUUUUUGAUCUUAAACGAGGAAUUCCUAGUAAGCGCAAGUCAUCAACUUGCGUUGAUUACGUCCCUGCCCUUUGUACACACCGCCCGUCGCUACUACCGAUUGAAUGGUUUAGUGAGGCCUUCGGAUCCGCGACUCGUUUGUGGAGAAGUUGGACAAACUCAGUCAUUUAGAGGAAGUAAAAGUCGUANCA